UUAAUGUUCCAUGAAUGUAUUUUCAGAUUUUUGCAAUUCGCCACACUUCAAACUUCCUUCUCCAUUAUGAUUCUCUGCUCCAUGAACUGUUUUUAUGAAGCAGCACAAAACCAAUAAAAAGGUUUGUGCAUCAAAACCCAAUAUCUACUGUCCACUCCUAUCAAAAGAUUUCUACAAUAUGCUACACUUCAAACUUCCUUAUCCGUUAUGAUCCUCCGCUCUAUUAACCGUUUUUAUGAAGCAGCACAAAACCAAUUAAAAAGGUUUGUGCAUCAAAACUCAAUAACUACUGUCCACUACUCCCAAAAGAUUUCUACAAUAUGCUACACUUCAAACUUCCUUCUCCAGUAUAUGAUUCUCCAACCUUGAACUGUUUUAUGAAGAGGCACACAACCGAUAAAACGGUACAUUGAAUUGUCAUUUGCAUGGUUUCAACGAAUAACUGUACAUGUUUAUGGUUUGUGCAUCAACUAAAUAUCUACUGUCCACUGCUCUCAAAAGUUGAGUCGGGAAUCAUGUCUACAUAAAUUACAAAAUGUUUUAUUUGUGCGCAAACUGUAAUUAUCAAUUUG
ensembl:lncRNA